rnacentral:rRNA from 3 species
CAGUCGAGCGGGGAAAGGUAGCUUGCUACUUGACCUAGCGGCGGACGGGUGAGUAAUGCUUAGGAAUCUGCCUAUUAGUGGGGGACAACAUCUCGAAAGGGAUGCUAAUACCGCAUACGUCCUACGGGAGAAAGCAGGGGACCUUCGGGCCUUGCGCUAAUAGAUGAGCCUAAGUCGGAUUAGCUAGUUGGUGGGGUAAAGGCCUACCAAGGCGACGAUCUGUAGCGGGUCUGAGAGGAUGAUCCGCCACACUGGGACUGAGACACGGCCCAGACUCCUACGGGAGGCAGCAGUGGGGAAUAUUGGACAAUGGGGGGAACCCUGAUCCAGCCAUGCCGCGUGUGUGAAGAAGGCCUUUUGGUUGUAAAGCACUUUAAGCGAGGAGGAGGCUACCGAGAUUAAUACUCUUGGAUAGUGGACGUUACUCGCAGAAUAAGCACCGGCUAACUCUGUGCCAGCAGCCGCGGUAAUACAGAGGGUGCAAGCGUUAAUCGGAUUUACUGGGCGUAAAGCGCGCGUAGGUGGCCAAUUAAGUCAAAUGUGAAAUCCCCGAGCUUAACUUGGGAAUUGCAUUCGAUACUGGUUGGCUAGAGUAUGGGAGAGGAUGGUAGAAUUCCAGGUGUAGCGGUGAAAUGCGUAGAGAUCUGGAGGAAUACCGAUGGCGAAGGCAGCCAUCUGGCCUAAUACUGACACUGAGGUGCGAAAGCAUGGGGAGCAAACAGGAUUAGAUACCCUGGUAGUCCAUGCCGUAAACGAUGUCUACUAGCCGUUGGGGCCU